GGCGGCGUGCCUAAUACAUGCAAGUCGAGCGAACGGAYGAGAAGCUUGCUUCUCUGAUGUUAGCGGCGGACGGGUGAGUAACACGUGGAUAACCUACCUAUAAGACUGGGAUAACUUCGGGAAACCGGAGCUAAUACCGGAUAAUAUUUUGAACCGCAUGGUUCAAAAGURAAAGACGGUCUUGCUGUCACUUAUAGAUGGAUCCGCGCUGCAUUAGCUAGUUGGUAAGGUAACGGCUUACCAAGGCAACGAUGCAUAGCCGACCUGAGAGGGUGAUCGGCCACACUGGAACUGAGACACGGUCCAGACUCCUACGGGAGGCAGCAGUAGGGAAUCUUCCGCAAUGGGCGAAAGCCUGACGGAGCAACGCCGCGUGAGUGAUGAAGGUCUUCGGAUCGUAAAACUCUGUUAUUAGGGAAGAACAUAUGUGUAAGUAACUGUGCACAUCUUGACGGUACCUAAUCAGAAAGCCACGGCUAACUACGUGCCAGCAGCCGCGGUAAUACGUAGGUGGCAAGCGUUAUCCGGAAUUAUUGGGCGUAAAGCGCGCRUAGGCGGUUUUUUAAGUCUGAUGUGAAAGCCCACGGCUCAACCGUGGAGGGUCAUUGGAAACUGGAAAACUUGAGUGCAGAAGAGGAAAGUGGAAUUCCAUGUGUAGCGGUGAAAUGCGCAGAGAUAUGGAGGAACACCAGUGGCGAAGGCGACUUUCUGGUCUGUAACUGACGCUGAUGUGCGAAAGCGUGGGGAUCAAACAGGAUUAGAUACCCUGGUAGUCCACGCCGUAAACRAUGAGUGCUAAGUGUUAGGGGGUUUCCGCCCCUUAGUGCUGCAGCUAACGCAUUAAGCACUCCGCCUGGGGAGUACGACCGCAAGGUUGAAACUCAAAGGAAUUGACGGGGACCCGCACAAGCGGUGGAGCAUGUGGUUUAAUUCGAAGCAACGCGAAGAACCUUACCAAAUCUUGACAUCCUUUGACAACUCUAGAGAUAGAGCYUUCCYCUUCGGGGGACAAAGUGACAGGUGGUGCAUGGUUGUCGUCAGCUCGUGUCGUGAGAUGUUGGGUUAAGUCCCGCAACGAGCGCAACCCUUAAGCUUAGUUGCCAUCAUUAAGUUGGGCACUCUAAGUUGACUGCCGGUGACAAACCGGAGGAAGGUGGGGAUGACGUCAAAUCAUCAUGCCCCUUAUGAUUUGGGCUACACACGUGCUACAAUGGACAAUACAAAGGGCAGCGAAACCGYGAGGUCAAGCAAAUCCCAUAAAGUUGUUCUCAGUUCGGAUUGUAGUCUGCAACUCGACUACAUGAAGCUGGAAUCGCUAGUAAUCGUAGAUCAGCAUGCUACGGUGAAUACGUUCCCGGGUCUUGUACACACCGCCCGUCACACCACGAGAGUUUGUAACACCCGAAGCCGGUGGAGUAACCUUUUAGGAGCUAGCCGUCGAAGGUGGGACAAAUGAUUGGGGUGAAGUCGUAACA
rnacentral:rRNA from 1 species